rnacentral:tRNA from 1 species
AGAGAUGUAGCUCAGUGGAACAGUACCUGCCUGACAAGUAAGAAGCCUGGGUUCUUUUUCCAGUAUCCCUC